CUAAUUCUGGAAAGAAUCUUAUAGAUUACUAAUUACGGAUAAAAAUGUUCUGUUAACGUUUUCAUUCCAUAGCAUUCCAUUUUUCGGAAUUAUUAAAUUAUUUAAAAAUUGAAAAAAGAAAUAAACGGCAGCCAUAAUUUCAACUUGGUAAAAUAAAAACAAAGCAGACGACUGCGGAUAUUGAUAUGUCUUUCCAAGUUUCCAGCAUGCUUUACAGAAAUUGCAGCUCAAGUUCAGGAAAUCCAGUCAAGGAGCAAGAAAUCUACGGUGAAGUUCAAAGUCGAUUUGAUGGAUAUGUAACUUCAAUUGCCACAACUGAUGAAGUUGAAGGAGAAGAUUAUGAUGGAGCAGUUGCCAUUGGAGGCAGGCAAACUUUCACAGCACCAGCUGCGAUUCUCAAUAAUGUGGCAGGAGAAGACUUUGACCCAUUUGCUGAACAUCGGAGAUCAACUAUUGCUGAUAGAGAAGAUGAAUACAGAGCAAUGCGUUGGAAGUUGAUUAUUUCCCCAGAACGUGUUGAUUCAUUUGCUGAAGACGUUGGAUCUCUCACUUACGCUCACAUUAUUCGUGAAAAACAGUUGCGCGCCGAAGAGCAAGAGGUCCGCCGUAAGCUUACCGACAAAGGAUGGUACAUUAAAAGCUGUAUCAGUACCAUCAAACGGUGAAUCCAGAAGACCCCCAAUAUUUCGACAAGCUAUUGAUUGAUGUUGAUAAAGAUUCAUUGAGCCCAGAAGAGUUAAAGGAACGAAAAAUCAUGACUCUUUUACUUAAAAUCAAGAACGGUACCCCACCUAUGCGUAAAUCUGCAUUGAGACAAAUCACGGAUAAGGCUAGAGAAUUCGGAGCCAUUACUAGACAAAUCUACUCCGUUUGAAGGUUAUCUGCCGAUAGCAAAAGUAGAGAUGAUUCACGGCACGGAAUCAUGUUGGCCAGUGUUAAACUAUUGACAAGGAUUGCUACAAGAUCGCAAAGCGGGACAAUUUGUUUACAUGUUUUGCUUGUGAACUGGAGAGUAUUCCCUCAGCCGCCGUUGAAGCUAAUUCUAUUCCGCUCCAGCAAUCACGACCUAAACGGAACAGAAAACCGAACCCUCGUUACGACCAAAGUUCUCCGAAAAGGCGAAAUGCAGCAGUUAUUCCUUUCUCGGAUUCAGUUACCGCUUCAACUUCUUCAACUACAAACAUAAUUGUCAAUGAAACAUUUACUAUUCAUAGCUCCUCUAACCACUCAGUCGUCCUUGAAGAAGUUGUCCCUCCAAUGCCGUCAAUAAAUAUGGACUUUUCAGAUAUUCCACAGGAAUUACUUGACAUGGCAGUUGCCAAUAUGUCUCUGAAUGACUCUGCAAUUAAUCCUUUUGAUUUUUCUUUUUCUAGAUUAGACACUUCACUUCACCCACCAAGCCCAGUUAGACCAGAAGAUAAUUCCACAGCUAGCAGAUCAUCCUUUGAAUCAGAGAAUGGAGAUACUGUUCAUUCGCCUCGUCACGUUACUCCGGUCCCCAUCAGAGAGAAAAGCCUGAUUUACGAGGAGCCAAUCACACCAGCAAUCCGGGUGAAACACUUUUAUAUUGAAUUUGGGGCUUCGAUAAGGGGAAAGGAUCAGUUGUUGGAUGGAAUAGGUAAUCGAUAUGGGAGAAAAAGGCGAGAAACCCACUAAAA
rnacentral:misc_RNA from 1 species